rnacentral:lncRNA from 1 species
GCGGCGGCGGCGGAGGGGCGCCCCGGGCGGGCGGUUUCGGGCGUCCCCGUCCGCGGCACUCGCCGAGCGCCGCCGCAGCUGCCGGGAGAGCGGUGGGCGAGGGCCGGCCGCGGCGGAGGCAGCUGCGGUACGUGCGGGCUGGGGGCUUGCGGAGUGCGAUUGCGUUGGUAUGACAGAGGUACCUCUUUAUAAAGACACAACAUUACAUACAAAUUGGAGUUCAUGUCCCAACUACAGUAUAGCAUAAUGCUAAGGAUGAUGGCAACAUGUCAGUUAUACUUAUUUAUCAGCAUUUCUGAAAAUUUUGUAGUAAGAUGCGAAAUAAAGUAUAUGUAAACAACAAGAAAAGGACAAAAAUAAAAGCAAUAUACAGCUGAACAAUUAAAGAAUAAUCUAUUGGAGUCAUCACCAAGUUUUUGAAUUUACUCAACAUGAGUACAGAAAUGAGCUGUGUAUUCUGGAGUACAGUGAUGGCAGUAGUCACACUAAGUGCUGCUGCUGCUGCUGUGUACAAAGGCCAGUGUCUCUGUAUGGAAGUAGAGCACCAUGUUCACGGCUAAGAAGACCAGGAGGUUAAACCAGCACUGUAAUAUUCUAGGCUAACCCUUCCUUU